UUUAUAUAAUUUUAUUUUUAUUUUUGGUUUAUGUUUUAUUUAUAUUUUUUUAGUUUUUAAUAAAAUAAUUUUAUUUUAUUACUGAUGAGGAUUAAUUACAUAAUUUUAAAUGUAAUUAUUUUUGUACCUUUUGUAUCAGGGUUAAUUUAAUUGUUAAUUUAUAUUUAGUUCCCGAAUCAAAUUGAUCUUUUUUAAUAUUAAUUUCUUGUUUUAUAAAGUUUUAUAAUUUUAAUUAAGUAGUUAAAAGUUAAUCGUUUUUUGUUAUAUCUGGUUAAUUAAUAAUAAAUUUAAUUUUAAUUAUUUUUUGUAAUUUAAUAAAUGAGGGAUAAUCUUCAUUUAUAUUUAAAAUUUAAUUUUUAUUGAUUUUUUUAUGAUUUGUAUUUUUUGUUGUUAGUUUGUAAUAAAUUUAAUCUUUUUAUUAUAAUUAUUUUUUAUUUAAUAUAUUAUUAAUUUUUUUUAAUUAAUUUUUAUUUAUAAAUAAUAAUGAUUAAAUUAGUAUAAUUUUUAAUUAAUUUUAAAUGAACUCGGCAAUUUAAAUUUUCAAAUGUUUAACAAAAACAUUUCUUUUAGCAAUUUUUUAAAAGUAAUAUCUGCUCAAUGAUUAAUUUUAAAUAGCUGCAGUAUUUUGACUGUACAAAGGUAGCAUAAUAAUUAGUCUUUUAAUUGAAGUCUGGAAUGAAUGAUAUAAUGAGAAAUUUACUUUAUUAAUUUUAUUAUUAAAAUUUAAUUUUUAAGUGAGAAAGCUUAAUUAUUUUUUUGGGACGAGAAGACCCUAUAGAACUUUAUUUAUUUAUUUAAUAUUAAUUUGUUUAGUUUUAAUUUAUAUAUUUAAUUAUAUAAAUUUAAUUGGGGUGAUUAUUAAAUUUAACUUUAAUUUUUAUUUUCAUUAAUUUAUGAUUUUUUGAUCCUUUUUUAAGAUUAAAAGAUUAAGUUACCUUAGGGAUAACAGCGUAAUUUUAAUGGUAAGUUCUUAUUUAUAUUAAAGUUUGCGACCUCGAUGUUGAAUUAAGAUAAUACCAGGGGGUAGUUUUUUUGGUUUUAAGUCUGUUCGACUUUUAAUUUCUUACAUGAUUUGAGUUCAGACCGGUGUGAGCCAGGUCGGUUUCUAUCUGAUUAUAUAUAAAUUAUUUUAGUACGAAAGGACCAUUUAAUUCAAUUUUAUAUUGUUUAUUUUUAAU
rnacentral:rRNA from 1 species